rnacentral:rRNA from 1 species
AGCGAACGCUGGCGGCAGGCUUAACACAUGCAAGUCGAACGGGCGUAGCAAUACGUCAGUGGCAGACGGGUGAGUAACGCGUGGGAACGUACCUUUUGGUUCGGAACAACUGAGGGAAACUUCAGCUAAUACCGGAUAAGCCCUUACGGGGAAAGAUUUAUCGCCGAAAGAUCGGCCCGCGUCUGAUUAGCUAGUUGGUGAGGUAAUGGCUCACCAAGGCGACGAUCAGUAGCUGGUCUGAGAGGAUGAUCAGCCACAUUGGGACUGAGACACGGCCCAAACUCCUACGGGAGGCAGCAGUGGGGAAUAUUGGACAAUGGGGGCAACCCUGAUCUAGCCAUGCCGCGUGAGUGAUGAAGGCCCUAGGGUUGUAAAGCUCUUUCACCGAUGAAGAUAAUGACGGUAGUCGGAGAAGAAGCCCCGGCUAACUUCGUGCCAGCAGCCGCCGUAAAAC